UACGUAGGUCCCGAGCGUUAUCCGGAUUUAUUGGGCGUAAAGCGAGCGCAGGCGGUUAGAUAAGUCUGAAGUGAAAGGCUGUGGCUUAACCAUAGUAUGCUUUGGAAACUGUUUAACUUGAGUGCAGAAGGGGAGAGUGGAAUUCCAUGUGUAGCGGUGAAAUGCGUAGAUAUAUGGAGGAACACCGGUGGCGAAAGCGGCUCUCUGGUCUGUAACUGACGCUGAGUCCCGUAAGCGUGGGGAGAAAACAGA
rnacentral:rRNA from 1 species